rnacentral:rRNA from 1 species
UACGUAGGGUGCGAGCGUUAAUCGGAAUUACUGGGCGUAAAGUGUGCGCAGGCGGCCGCGCAAGUCGAGUGUGAAAGCCCCGAGCUUAACUUGGGAAUUGCGCUCGAAACUACGUGGCUGGAGUGUGGCAGAGGAAGGUGGAAUUCCACGUGUAGCGGUGAAAUGCGUAGAUAUUGACAGGAACACCGGUGGCGUAAGCGGCUAUCUGGACCGACAUUGACGCUGAGGCACGAAAGCGUGGGGAUCAAACAGG